rnacentral:rRNA from 1 species
AGCGAACGCUGGCGGCAGGCCUAACACAUGCAAGUCGAGCGCCCCGCAAGGGGAGCGGCAGAAGGGAGAGUAACACGUGGGAACAUGCCCUUCCGUACGGAACAACCAAGGGAAACUUUGGCUAAUACAGUCUACGCCCGUAAGGGGAAAGGUUUAUCGCUGAAGGAUUGGCCCGCGUCUGAUUAGCUAGUUGGUGGGGUAAUGGCCCACCAAGGCGACGAUCAGUAGCUGGUCUGAGAGGAUGAUCAGCCUCACUGGGGCUGAGACACGGCCCAGACUCCUACGGGAGGCAGCAUUGGGGAAUAUUGGACAAUGGGCGCAAGCCUGAUCCAGCCAUGCCGCGUGAGUGAUGAAGGCCUUAGGGUUGUAAAGCUCUUUCGUCAGGGAAGAUAAUGACGGUACCUGAAGAAGAAGCCCCGGCUAACUUCGUGCCAGCAGCCGCCGUAAUAC